AUUGAACGCUGGCGGCAGGCCUAACACAUGCAAGUCGAGCGAGCGGCGGACGGGUGAGUAAUGUAUGGGGACUGCCCGAUAGAGGGGGAUAACUACUGGAAACGGUGGCUAAUACCGCAUCCUAUCGGAUAACCCAUAUGGGAUUAGCUAGUUGGUGGGGUAAAGGCUCACCUAGGCGACGAUCUCUAGCUGGUCUGAGAGGAUGAUCAGCCACACUGGUACUGGGAAACGGCCCAGCGUCCUACGGAGGCAGCGGUGGGGAAUAUUGCACAAGGGGGGAAAGCCGGCUGCAGCCAUUCGGGGUGUAUGAAGAAGGCCUUGGGUUUGUAAAGUACUUUCAGCGGGGAGGCGUUACCCGCAGAGGAAGCACCGGCUAACUCCGUGCCAGCAGCCGCGGUAAUAC
rnacentral:rRNA from 1 species